GCCCAUGUGGCUCAGUGGUAGAGCACUCCCUUGGUAAGGGAGAGGUCGGCAGUUCGAUCCUGCCUAUGGGCACCA
rnacentral:tRNA from 1 species